rnacentral:rRNA from 1 species
AGCGAGCGCUGGCGGCAGGCUUAACACAUGCAAGUCGAACGGGCAUCUUCGGAUGUCAGUGGCAGACGGGUGAGUAACACGUGGGAACGUACCCUUCGGUUCGGAAUAACUCAGGGAAACUUGAGCUAAUACCGGAUACGCCCUUUUGGGGAAAGGUUUACUGCCGAAGGAUCGGCCCGCGUCUGAUUAGCUUGUUGGUGGGGUAACGGCCUACCAAGGCGACGAUCAGUAGCUGGUCUGAGAGGAUGAUCAGCCACACUGGGACUGAGACACGGCCCAGACUCCUACGGGAGGCAGCAGUGGGGAAUAUUGGACAAUGGGCGCAAGCCUGAUCCAGCCAUGCCGCGUGAGUGAUGAAGGCCUUAGGGUUGUAAAGCUCUUUUGUCCGGGACGAUAAUGACGGUACCGGAAGAAUAAGCCCCGGCUAACUUCGUG